GCAUAUCAAUAAGCGGAGGAAAAGAAACUAACAAGGAUUCCCCUAGUAACUGCGAGUGAAGCGGGAAAAGCUCAAAUUUAAAAUCUGGCAGUCUUUGGCUGUCCGAGUUGUAAUCUGGAGAAGCGUUUUCCGCGCUGGACCGUGUACAAGUCUCUUGGAAUAGAGCGUCAUAGAGGGUGAGAAUCCCGUCUUUGACACGGACUACCAGUGCUUUGUGAUACGCUCUCAAAGAGUCGAGUUGUUUGGGAAUGCAGCUCAAAAUGGGUGGUAAAUUCCAUCUAAAGCUAAAUAUUGGCGAGAGACCGAUAGCGAACAAGUACCGUGAGGGAAAGAUGAAAAGCACUUUGGAAAGAGAGUUAAACAGUACGUGAAAUUGCUGAAAGGGAAGCGCUUGAAGUCAGUCGCGUUGUUCAGAACUCAACCUGGUUUUACUUGGUGCACUUUCUGAAUGACGGGCCAACAUCAGUUUUGACUGUCGGAUAAAAGCCUUUGGAAUGUGGCACCUCCGGGUGUGUUAUAGCCUUUGGUUGUAUACCGUGGUUGGGAUUGAGGAUCGCAGCACGCCUUUUUUGGCCGGGGUUCGCCCACGUACGUGCUUAGGAUGUUGGCGUAAUGGCUUUAAACGACCCGUCUUGAAACACGGACCAAGGAGUCUAACAUGCCUGCGAGUGUUUGGGUGGAAAACCCGAGCGCGCAAUGAAAGUGAAAGUUGGGAUCCCUGUCGUGGGGAGCACCGACGCCCAUACCAGACCUUCUGUGACGGAUAUGCGGUUGAGCAUGUAUGUUGGGACCCGAAAGAUGGUGAACUAUGCCUGAAUAGGGUGAAGCCAGAGGAAACUCUGGUGGAAGCUCGUAGCGAUUCUGACGUGCAAAUCGAUCGUCAAAUUUGGGUAUAGGGGCGAAAGACUAAUCGAACCAUCUAGUAGCU
rnacentral:rRNA from 1 species